rnacentral:rRNA from 1 species
GAUGAAUGCUAGCGAUAGGCUUAACACAUGCAAGUCGAGGGGCAGCACAAGGUAGCUUGCUAUCUGGGUGGCGACCGGCGCACGGGUGCGUAACGCGUAUGCAACUUGCCCUAUACAGGAGGAUAACCCGUCGAAAGACGGACUAAUACUGCGUAUGCUCACAACUUGGCAUCAAGUGGUGAGGAAAGAAAUUCGGUAUAGGAUAGGCAUGCGUCCCAUUAGCUUGUUGGUGAGGUAACGGCUCACCAAGGCAACGAUGGGUAGGGGAACUGAGAGGUUUAUCCCCCACACUGGUACUGAGACACGGACCAGACUCCUACGGGAGGCAGCAGUGAGGAAUAUUGGUCAAUGGGCGCGAGCCUGAACCAGCCAAGUCGCGUGAAGGAUGACUGUCUUAUGGAUUGUAAACUUCUUUUAUACGGGAAUAACAAGAGUCACGUGUGACUCCCUGCAUGUACCGUAUGAAUAAGCAUCGGCUAACUCCGUG